CGACGGGUACGGGUUGUGAGAGCAGAGCCGGAGAUGGAUCCUGAGACAUGAAUCCAGGGCCCUACGGGGCGCAGCAGGCGCGAAAACUUUACAAUGCGGGAAACCGUGAUAAGGGGACACCGAGUGCCAGCAACAUUUGUUGGCUGUCCAGGUGUGUAAACUACACCUGUUAGCAAGGGCCGGGCAAGACCGGUGCCAGCCGCCGCGGUAACACCGGCGGCCCGAGUGGUGAUCGUGAUUAUUGGGUCUAAAGGGUCCGUAGCCGGUUUGGUCAGUCCUCCGGGAAAUCUGACGGCUUAACCGUUAGGCUUUCGGGGGAUACUGCCAGGCUUGGAACCGGGAGAGGUAAGAGGUACUACAGGGGUAGGAGUGAAAUCUUGUAAUCCCUGUGGGACCACCUGUGGCGAAGGCGUCUUACCAGAACGGGUUCGACGGUGAGGGACGAAAGCUGGGGGCACGAACCGGAUUAGAUACCCGGGUAGUCCCAGCCGUAAACGAUGCUCGCUAGGUGUCAGGCAUGGCGCGACCGUGUCUGGUGCCGCAGGGAAGCCGUGAAGCGAGCCACCUGGGAAGUACGGCCGAAGGCUGAAACUUAAAG
rnacentral:rRNA from 1 species